UCCCCGAUUUCCGGGGCAGUCUCCUUAGAGUUCCCGGCAUUACCCGCUGGCAACUAAGGAUAGGGGUUGCGCUCGUUGCGGGACUUAACCCGACAUCUCACGACACGAGCUGACGACAGCCAUGCACCACCUGUGACCGCGCUCCGAAGAGGGACCCUGUUUCCAGGGUUUUCACGGACAUGUCAAGCCCAGGUAAGGUUCUUCGCGUUGCUUCGAAUUAAGCCACAUGCUCCGCCGCUUGUGCGGGCCCCCGUCAAUUCCCUUGAGUUUUAGCCUUGCGGCCGUAGUCCCCAGGCGGGGUGCUUAACGCGUUAGCUUCGACACGGAGACCGUGAACUGGUCCCCACAUCUAGCACCCAUCGUUUACGGCAUGGACUAC
rnacentral:misc_RNA from 1 species